rnacentral:rRNA from 1 species
AUACAUGCAAGUCGAGCGAACGGACGCAGAAGCUUGCUUCUCUGAUGUUAGCGGCGGACGGGUGAGUAACACGUGGAUAACCUACCUAUAAGACUGGGAUAACUUCGGGAAACCGGAGCUAAUACCGGAUAAUAUUUUGAACCGCAUGGUUCAAAAGUGAAAGACGGUCUUGCUGUCACUUAUAGAUGGAUCCGCGCUGCAUUAGCUAGUUGGUAAGGUAACGGCUUACCAAGGCAACGAUGCAUAGCCGACCUGAGAGGGUGAUCGGCCACACUGGAACUGAGACACGGUCCAGACUCCUACGGGAGGCAGCAGUAGGGAAUCUUCCGCAAUGGGCGAAAGCCUGACGGAGCAACGCCGCGUGAGUGAUGAAGGUCUUCGGAUCGUAAAACUCUGUUAUUAGGGAAGAACAUAUGUGUAAGUAACUGUGCACAUCUUGACGGUACCUAAUCAGAAAGCCACGGCUAACUACGUGCCAGCAGCCGCGGUAAUACGUAGGUGGCAAGCGUUAUCCGGAAUUAUUGGGCGUAAAGCGCGCGUAGGCGGUUUUUUAAGUCUGAUGUGAAAGCCCACGGCUCAACCGUGGAGGGUCAUUGGAAACUGGAAAACUUGAGUGCAGAAGAGGAAAGUGGAAUUCCAUGUGUAGCGGUGAAAUGCGCAGAGAUAUGGAGGAACACCAGUGGCGAAGGCGACUUUCUGGUCUGUAACUGACGCUGAUGUGCGAAAGCGUGGGGAUCAAACAGGAUUAGAUACCCUGGGAGUCCACGCCGUAAACGAUGAGUGCUAAGUGUUAAGGGGUUUCCGCCCCUUAGUGCUGCAGCUAACGCAUUAAGCACUCCGCCUGGGGAGUACGACCGCAAGGUUGAAACUCAAAGGAAUGACGGGGACCGCACAGCGGUGGAGCAUGUGGGUUAAUUCAAGCAACCCGAAAACCUUACCAA